rnacentral:SRP_RNA from 1 species
ACAAGGAGCAUUGGUGUGCACCUGUAAUUCCAGUUACCCAGGAGGCUGAGGCAGGAGGACUGCUUGAAUCCAGGAUUUUUAAGCUGUAGUGUGCUAUGCUGAUUGGUGUCUGCACUGAGUUCAGCAUCAAUAUGGUGAUCUCCCAAGAGCAGGAGACCACCAUUUUGCCUAAGAGGGGUACGCCGGCCCAGGCUGGAAACAGAGGUCAUAACUCUUGUGCUGAUAAAAUCCUAUUUUGGCACCAGCAGUUAUCGUAAUGGCUAUGUUGCUGGACUCCCACGUAGUCUACCACAGU